UGCUGUGGGCUUCUCCUUCCAUUAUUCAACAAAAACAUCAGGAAUCAAAUGACAUAUCAAAUGAUUUUUGCUGAAGUUUCUAACGGACGACCCUGAAAAUCAUAGUUUAUGGUUCGUUGCUGACGUUUGGGUGUGAGCCGCCAUCUUGAGAGGGUUGUCUGCAGGUCAGGAGCAGGUCGGGAUGAUUUAAUGACUUCUCAGCGAAGGAGAACGUGAUAAAUUCUGGUUUUGUUCCAGAAGAAAAGAGGAGCUAAAGACGAAUGAAAGGAGAAGUGGAUGUGAACGGAGGGAGUCGGUGCAAUCAGUCAGGAAGGAAGCAGCUGAAGAGCCACGUCUCCGCUGCACAACGACGCCUUGGAUUCCUGUUUUCACACAGCAACUGUUUGAUGCUUCUUAAUAUCACAGGCUGCAGCUGCAAUCAGUCCAACUUCUCCUGAUUACUUCAGGCUGGAGCGACGCCAGCGGCUUGUUGUUAAGCUGCAUGUUUCUGCUGGUACAUCCAUCCAGGCAUGUGUGCGUUUGGACGGCUUUUGUUUGGGUUUCAAAGUGUUGCUGUGUCCCACCUGUUACUGCUGGCAACACAAACAGGUUUUGAAGCGGAGAGAAAAGGAAAUAUUACUAAAACUUCCAAUUAGGCAUUUCAGGCUCUGGAGAAAACGAAUGGGUUUGUGUGGUCCAAAACAACAACAACAGGCGCUGCUGAGGAGCAGAAAACGAACGGAGGUAAAUGAUUCGCUUGGGUUUCUUCCGUGUUGCAACGAGACGGCGGGUCGCUGGCGGAUGAACCUGAAGAGGCGUGAAAUAAUCAACUGGGAAGAAAAGCAGGAAUAACAGAAGUGAAGUCAGAAACAGAUAACUUUUAUGAAAGUAGAAUGAGCAGAAACAGAAGAUCA